UCCUGUGAUCUUAAUUCUCACAAUGGGAUUGGGUUUGGAAAUAGUUACUAUCAUGUUUCCAAUGAAACCAAAACCUGGCCUAAAAGUUACACUGCCUGUGUAGAACUGAAUUCUCGUCUUCUGAAGAUACAGACCCAAGAAUUGCUGGAUCUCUUAUCAACAUUUGGAAUGUCGGGAUGGAUAGAUCAUAAAAUGUGUGAAAUUGAUUGGUUCCCGUUAAUGAAAAAUUGUACCAAAAUGAAUGAAAGUCAAGUUCAAUUGAUGAAAAAGAAGAACAAGAAUUGUGCUUAUAUCAGUGGAAAGUACAUUUAUCCUGAAAACUGUUCAUCUAGGAAAUUUUACAUAUGCGAGUUUAAUAUACAGCAACAUCUGCUUUACUAACACAAUAUUAUUAAAUCCUAAUAAAAUAUUUACAAAA